UUGAAUUUUAAUGAAGAGUUUGGUUGUAGCUGGCCCAUUCAUUUGGGCAUGUGCACACCUUCCUCUUUCAUCCCACACACACCUGUGAACCUGUGAGACAGAGAUGGGGAAUUUACUUUGCUGCUUUUUGGAAUACAAAGGCAAUAGGUUAUUGGACCCCCCCUCUGUCUACUCAAUUAAUAUAAACUCAAUUUAUUUUAAAACGAAUGUAAUGGAUGUACACAUCUCAUAC
rnacentral:misc_RNA from 1 species